rnacentral:lncRNA from 1 species
UGCCUUCAGCCCCUUUGGCUCAUGGUUUCCUUUUAGAUAUGAAUGUAAUAAAAAUUGUGAUGGGUAACUGACUAUUUUAAAGAAGCGUGAUGCCUCAAAACUUACCUGUGCUCCAUCCUAUUCAGGGCCCAGUCCUAUGUUAGCUAAUAAUCAGAUUCUAUUUUUUAAAAUGGAAAUAUCUCUGUAAAGUAAUUAAAACAGAGUUCUUGCUGAAAUUGAAUUUAUAAAAUGAAUGCUUCCAUUUUUAUCAGAGCAAUGUUGUUUGCAAAAUGCUUUAUAGGACUAUUAAUAAGCACCUUGGGCAGCAAAUAACAUCAGGUUGAAAUGUACCAAAACAUGUAUUAAUUGCCCCAUAAAACAUGCUCUGUUGUGUCUUAUUGCUUAUAUCAGGUGGAGUUGCCAAGGCAACCCUUGCAUCCUACAAUGCCACUCUGGCUAAAAGAGGGCAUAGGACAUUCCAUGCUCCACUUACAGAAAGGCUAACAGAAAAGCUGCAGAGAAAAGAAGAGUUCUCAUUGUUUACACCAGACUGCAAACACACUCACACUGACACAAGGUCUCUACAGAAGAAGGCUUGAGUCUGGCCCGGGAAUAUAACUGUGCUUUUUUUGAGACCUCUGCAGCCCUCAGAUUCUGCAUUGAUGAUGCCUUUCAUGGUCUCGUGAGAGAAAUCCGCAAGAAGGAGUCCAUGCCAUCCUUGAUGGAAAAGAAACUGAAGAGAAAAGACAGCCUGUGGAAAAAGUUAAAAGGCUCAUUGAAGAAGAAGAAAGAAAACAUGACAUGAUAGCCUUGCUUCUAACUCCCUUAUUCUUUCUCUGAAUUUUAUCAGUUGGACAAUUCCAGAUGUUGCAUUCUGCUUCAAUAUUUUCUGUCUCUCUCUCUCUUUCUCUUUAAAUAUCUGCCUAUAGGUAAAAGCAAGAUCUGCAUAACUGUACCUCUUGAGAUAGUUUUGUUUUGCCCUUAACAGUUGGAUGGAUUUUGUCAAUCAGCCGGAUAUGCUGUUUAAGUUUUUACAAUAUAUUACUAAAUAAAAUUGACAUUCCAAUUGCCUCA